CGGCUCUGGGAGCCCGGCCCC
rnacentral:snRNA from 1 species